GAUGAACGCUGGCGGCGUGCCUAAUACAUGCAAGUCGAGCGAACAGACGAGGAGCUUGCUCCUUUGACGUUAGCGGCGGACGGGUGAGUAACACGUAGGUAACCUACCUAUAAGACUGGGAUAACUUCGGGAAACCGGAGCUAAUACCGGAUAAUAUUUCGAACCGCAUGGUUCGAUAGUGAAAGAUGGCUUUGCUAUCACUUAUAGAUGGACCUGCGCCGUAUUAGCUAGUUGGUAAGGUAACGGCUUACCAAGGCAACGAUACGUAGCCGACCUGAGAGGGUGAACGGCCACACCGGAACUGGGACACGGGCCAGACUCCUACGGGAGGCAGCAGUAGGGAAUCUUCCGCAAUGGGCGAAAGCCUGACGGAGCAAAGCCGCGUGAGUGAUGAAGGUCUUCGGAUCGGAAAACUCUGUUAUUAGGGAAGAACAAACGUGUAAGUAACUGUGCACGUCUUGACGGUACCUAAUCAGAAAGCCACGGCUAACUACGUG
rnacentral:rRNA from 1 species